rnacentral:tRNA from 1 species
GCCUGGGUGGCUCAGUCAGUUGAGCGUCUGACUUCAGCUCAGGUCACGAUCUCACGGUUUGUGAGUUCGAGCCCCGCAUCAGGCU